rnacentral:misc_RNA from 1 species
UUAAGUUCAGCGGGUAGUCCUACCUGAUUUGAGGUCACAUCAAUGAAUACUUGUCCCAAUCAAUGGACUGUUAUAAGCUGAACCUGCUUCCCGUCAAUAGCGUAGAUAGUUAUCACACCAAUUGGACGGUCUACAACUGUUCAACUAAUACAUUUCAGGGGAGCUGACCUUAGAAGGACCAGCAAAAAAGAACCCCCACA